rnacentral:lncRNA from 1 species
GUCAAAGGUCAAUUAAGAUAAUUAAAGCAUGGAGAUUAAAAGUUACCGCUAUGCAAUUGUUAUUUUCUAUAUAUUUGCUUCGAUUAUGUUGGAAGAAUAAACAUAAAAUAAAAUGAGGUAUUGUUAAUGUAUUGAUGAGGCAGCAACCCAAUGACAAAAAUAACAAAACGGUGUUAAAAGGGCAACAUACAACCCUAAGCAAUAGACAAACGUCUUUUUUUUAUCGUACCAAACAUAAAAAAUAAAUGUAAAAGAAGUUAACUAAAACAAUCGAAAAUAAACCUGCAAAAAAUACACCCACCAAAUUGAAUGUCUCAAUAUAACCCCAAAAAACAUUAGCAGUGGCGGAUCCAGAACUUUUCCUAAAGGGGGGCACUGACUGACCUAAGGGGGGCCCGCUCCAGUCAUGUUUCAGUGAUUCACUAUAUAAUCAACCAUAUUUUUCCCAC